ACUCCUCAAAGAGCAAUUCCCAAAGCUCCUGGACUGGACCCAAAACUAUUGUGCUCAGGGCAGGAUUCAGCCUCUUUGCAUUCACAGCACUGGGAACGGUCUCUCUGGCCCUGCCUUUUAUAAGUAAAAUAGGGAAGACAGCAGGGAAGAGAUGGCAGAGGCUGAAUGAGCAGCAGAUUUGCAUGAAGUGGGCGUUCUCAGCUCUGAGGGUUUAAGAGCGACACGGAGGCUGCCAGCCAGGGACCCGUUUUCCUCAGGAAGCCGAGCGGGUCUGGAUUCCCACCAUGGCCUGGGUCACUUUCCUUCUCGCUCUGCUCAUGUGCUCUGUCGGCUCCAGUUCCCAGCAGCUGCAGUCGCUGAAGCCAUCAGAGCAGGUGUCUCCCGGAGGGACUGUGACCAUCGCGUGCAGCCUGAGCAGUGGAGCAGUUGGUGAUGGCAACUACCCACACUGGGUGCAACAGAAACCGGGCCAAGCUCCUCGGCUGCUGAUGUACAGCACCAGUACCCGGCCCUCUGGUGUGCCAGCGCGCUUCUCUGGGUCCCGAUCAGGGAACACCAUGUCCUUGACCAUCACUGGGGCCCAGCCCGAGGAUGACGCUGAUUAUUACUGUGUUGCAUGGAUUGGGAGUGCUCACCACAGCAAUGCUUGCAGAUGGGGAAGUGAGACAAAAACCUCCUUCCCUCCCUGGCCUGUGCCCUGCUGGGUGCCACCUUGGCUCUACAGCUGGAGUUCUCCGUGCAGGAACUGUGACAGCUGGUCCUCCUUCCCCGGGAACCCCAGCUCUGCACACUCUGGACUGAAGCGGGGGAUGAGGGGGGCAUGCUUCCUUUUCUCUGUGCCCACUGGUACCUCCUGACAUGCC